UGCGCAGGUGGUUAAAUAAGUCAGUGGUGAAAGUCUGCCGCUUAACGGUAGGAUUGCCAUUGAUACUGUUUAACUUGAGUUUGGAUGAGGUAGGCGGAAUGAGUAGUGUAGCGGUGAAAUGCAUAGAUAUUACUCAGAACACCGAUUGCGAAGGCAGCUUACUAAUCCACAACUGACACUGAGGCACGAAAGCGUGGGGAUCAAACAG
rnacentral:rRNA from 1 species